rnacentral:rRNA from 1 species
GGGGAAUAUUGCACAAUGGGCGCAAGCCUGAUGCAGCGACGCCGCGUGGGGGAUGACGGCCUUCGGGUUGUAAACCUCUUUCAGCACAGACGAAGCGCAAGUGACGGUAUGUGCAGAAGAAGCACCGGCCAACUACGUGCCAGCAGCCGCGGUAAUACGUAGGGUGCGAGCGUUGUCCGGAAUUACUGGGCGUAAAGAGCUCGUAGGUGGUUUGUCGCGUUGUUCGUGAAAACCGGGGGCUUAACCCUCGGCGGGCGGGCGAUACGGGCAGACUGGAGUACUGCAGGGGAGACUGGAAUUCCUGGUGUAGCGGUGGAAUGCGCAGAUAUCAGGAGGAACACCGGUGGCGAAGGCGGGUCUCUGGGCAGUAACUGACGCUGAGGAGCGAAAGCGUGGGGAGCGAAC